GGCGGGACCGAUCGGCGGAGGCGGCACCGCGGCCCGGCCUCGCCUCACGGAGCCGCCCGCGCCCUGCCGUGCCUGGCGCUUCAGUCUUGCAGGCCCAAAGGAUUUUCUUCAUGCCAAAACUUGCCCUGUGCCUCUUUACUAAAGCUGCAACACUUAGCAGGAGGAGAGAGGCCUUGGAGUUUUAUUGUGCUUGCAAGCCCGGAUUACAUCGAUCACAUUGACUGGUCACGACAACUUUACUCAUGCAAUCACCAGCUGAACAUCAGAGGCUCUUUGGGACCCAUGAGAGAGUAACACAGCCCCUUCCACCAACUAAACAUGGUGGCACAGGAUACUGAUUUUGCUACUCCAGUAAUAAAGUAUGUCUCAGCAUUAGGAUUGAUUUUGUUUUUUAUGAGGAGUUUUAAAACUAUUUCCAAAGAUAACUGUCCAAUGAGGUAAUUUUUACACUAACCCUUUUCUGGAAUUUGCUGGGCUGGAAAGUGACUUCUUCAGUGCAGCACAGCCAUCUUUGUUUAUUAGACUCUUAACUAUUACUAUACUUGUAUUUAUUAUACUUUUAUUAUUUAAAAAGGAAAAAAGCCCAAACAUCUCCAAGAGCUAUUUCUUUCCAAGGAUUUGUGUCCCAUGCUUCUUCAACUUGGUCUAAGAGGGCAGAAGUUCCAAUAUGAGCUUUUGCUGCACUCUGGGUGUUUUAGGUUGUCUUCCUACACAAACUGUUUGGCAUUUAAUAAGGCUGGGAGCUUUUCCUCAGUGCAUGAGUUUCUCCCUCCUUCCCCACACUUAUUUUUACACUGCUGAUCGAAGUAAAUUUCCUUUCAACAGGUUCAAAAUCUAUUAGAGACAGGCCUACAGCAUGAUCAUAGAAACCUCCUGUGUGUAAGAACAAAUCUAUUUCUCCCCCUGCUCCACCAUGCCUUCAGCAGCCUCAUUUGCUGGUGUCUUCGUUAAAGGGCACAUCACAGAUCACCAAGUUUGGCUACUCAGUUUUGUUUUGAAACCAAGUGAAAGACCUGACCAAGCUUGCUUACAGAUUAACAAACUUCAUGCUUAACUUGGGGAAAAUAAGAACAGAAUGCUCCUGAAAAGGUAGGAAACAUCCUUAAAAGUACUUCAGCGUAAAUCUUGCGUCAUACAGGGCUCCAAAGAACGCACCAGCAACCUUGUGCUGACAUAUACUUGACCUUUGUUGUGAGCACACAAUUGCAACAUCCUGAAUGUCUCUAGCUAAAGUUUUCCCAGCAGGUUUUCCAGCUUGCUUGCACAUAUACUGAGCAGCAGUGUAAAUAUAACUUAUACAUUAACAUCUAGCCUGUAAGCAUGUGAUGCCUCAUUUGAUUUUCAUGAUCGCACCAUCAAACAUGGAUUUAAAAAGUCCAGCUUUGGAAUACAGCAGUUGUACUUUUCAUUUUACUUACACCAGGACCAAUCCGUAAAUUAAGCCACAUGCAGAUGAAGAAAAAAAAAGUAUUGUGUAUUUAGGAAACUUCCUUUAAAACAAAUUAUUUUAUCUCAGUCCAAACAUCCACAAUAGCAGGAAGCUGGAUCAUAGCAUGUUUACAGUUGUAUAAUAGCUCCAAAAACACUAAAGCAUCCUCCCACUGUAUUAAGAGCCUUUAAAAGAUGAAAAAUAAGUUUAGUACAAAGUCUCUUGACUGAAUUAACCUAAGACAAAUUAUUUGGGCACAUAUGGUGUAUAUUAUUUAAAAACAGAUUAAACAGUGUUUUGGGGUUUUUUUCAAACAUGAAAUUAUUCUAUAAACAUUCUUACUUUUCUGAUGAAUCAAUGCUCAAAAUUUGGCCAGAAGACAAGUCAGUUCCCAUGUCAUGGAAGCUCUCAAGGGGAUCUAGGGGGAGAUUUUCCAGCCUUGUUUUUUCUGUGUUACUCCCUUUUUUUUCUGUCCUGUAUUUUUUCUUGCAUACAGCUUCAAAAGAGCAAGUACAUCUUACUCAUCUUAUACACCCUAUUCUGCACUCUCCCCUCGAAAACCUGGCAUUACAAGGAUCCAAAUUGUAUUACAAAAAAAUAAAAUCAAUCUUUCUUUAAGAAUAGCAGUUUUAAGUGUAAAUGGCACGAUACAGAGUGGUAUUGGUGAUAUUUGAGCGAGCCCCAGAUUACCUGGCAAAGCUCAGUGGCACAGGCUGGCAGAAGCACCACGAUGGGGAACAAAGGGAAUGGCAAAGUCCUGCAGGUAGUGAACCCUCCUGGCCCUCAGCUGGGUCAGCCUGACUCAUGGCAUAUGUUGGAUGAUGCCCAUCAUUUGACAAAUAUGCAGGACAGGGAUUUCAGACAUUAACAACAUGUUAGUUCACCUUUGGGUCUCCACUCUGAUCAUAUGUAUUGUGGAAAUGCCUAUUUAGAGUUUCAGCAAGCAGCAUAGUAUUGCCUUUAAUUGAAAAGGGACAGAAAAGCAGGUUUUUCUGUUCAUAUUUCAUUUCUCAGCCAUGGAUUCUAGCUUUAGAAACACCACUUCAAGUAAAAUGCAUUAAUUUUAACUGUAGUCCCCUCUUCUUAAAAAUAAUCCAGUAGUAAACUGGAAUCCAGAAGAAAACACAAGACUUUUAGACAAACAGGUUUAUAAGGUUUAUUGUCCAUUGCACAUACAUGGAUUAUAUACAAGUUAGUAACAUAAGUUACUUCUUAAUUUUCUAGAAGAUUGUUACAGCAAAUGCCAUUUUAAAACAUCUACUCAGAAAUCAAUCUCAAAAAGGUAAAUAUGACAAUAUUUUAAGAACAAAACAAAUUGCACUUGGUUAGGAGAGUCAAAUACAGGUUUGUCUAUAUGCUGUAACAAACUAUAUAGCAGGUAAUAUUACAGUUAGAAGUAGCUCUUGCAGUCCAUUUGUACAUUAAUAAUUUUUUUCAAUUUUACUUAUUUAAAAACUGGUGAAUAUUUCAAAGAUUUCUUCUUCCUAGUAUUUGAGAUUCACAUGAAAUGCACUAGCGACUAAGUCUUUAUACAGUUGCUAUU